UACGAAGGGGGCUAGCGUUGUUCGGAUUUACUGGGCGUAAAGGGCGCGUAGGCGGCCUUGUCAGUCAGGCGUGAAAGCCCCGGGCUCAACCUGGGAACGGCGCUUGGGACGGCGAGGCUGGAGUUCGGGAGAGGAGAGUGGAAUUCCCAGUGUAGAGGUGAAAUUCGUAGAUAUCGGGAGGAACACCGGUGGCGAAGGCGGUUCUCUGGGCCUUACCUGACACUGAGGAGCGAAAGCGUGGGGAGCGAACAGG
rnacentral:rRNA from 1 species